rnacentral:rRNA from 1 species
UACGUAGGGUGCGAGCGUUGUCCGGAAUUACUGGGCGUAAAGAGCUCGUAGGCGGUUUGUCGCGUCGUCCGUGAAAACUUGGGGCUCAACCCCAAGCUUGCGGGCGAUACGGGCAGACUUGAGUACUGCAGGGGAGGACUGGAAUUCCUGGUGUAGCGGUGAAAUGCGCAGAUAUCAGGAGGAACACCGGUGGCGAAGGCGGGUCUCUGGGCAGUAACUGACGCUGAGGAGCGAAAGCGUGGGGAGCGAACAGG